AGCAGAUUGGAAUAAAUAUGAUGACCGACUGAUGAAAGCUGCAGAAAGAGGAGAUGUAGAAAAAGUUUCCUCCAUCCUUGCUAAAAAGGGCAUCAAUCCGGGCAAACUAGAUGUGGAGGGCAGAUCUGCCUUCCACGUUGUGGCCUCCAAGGGGAAUCUCGAAUGUUUGAAUGCCAUCCUUAUCCAUGGAGUCGAUAUUACAACCAGUGACACCGCAGGAAGAAAUGCUCUUCACCUGGCUGCAAAGUAUGGGCAUGCAUUGUGUCUACAAAAACUUCUACAGUACAAUUGUCCCCCUGAGCACGUAGACCUGCAGGGAAGGACCGCACUUCAUGAUGCAGCCAUGGCAGACUGUCCCUCUAGCAUACAGCUGCUCUGUGACCAUGGGGCCUUAGUGAAUGCCAAAGAUGUGGAUGGACGGACCCCCCUGGUUCUGGCUACUCAGAUGUGCAGGCCAACAAUAUGCCAACUGCUGAUAGAUAAAGGGGCGGAUAUUAAUUCCAGAGACAAACAAAACAGAACUGCCCUCAUGCUGGGUUGUGAGUAUGGUUGUAAAGACGCCGUAGAAGUCUUAAUCAAAAAUGGUGCUGAUGUCAGCUUGCUGGAUGCCCUGGGCCAUGACAGUUCUUACUAUGCAAGAAUUGGUGACAAUCUGGACAUCCUAAGUUUACUGAAGAAUGCAUCGGAAAAUGCCAACAAAGGGAGAGAACUUUGGAAGAAAGGACCAUCUUUACAACAGUGGAAUCUGCCGCACGUGCUAGAUGAAGUCAAUAUGAAGUCAGGUCAGAGGGGACAUCAAAACAUUCAGGAUCUGGAGUUUGAAAAUGAAGAUUUGAAAGAGAGGUUGAGAAAAAUUCAGCAAGAACAGAGAAUAUUACUGGAUAAAGUCAACGGUUUACAACUACAGCUGAAUGAGGAAGUAAUGGUUGCCGAUGAUCUGGAAAGUGAGAAGGAAAAGCUGAAGUCCCUUUUGGCAGCCAGAGAAAAGCAGCAUGAAGAAAGCCUGAGAACUAUUGAGGCUCUGAAAAAUAGAUUUAAAUAUUUUGAGAGUGAUCAUUUAGGAUCAGGAAGUCAUUUCAGUAACCGAAAAGAAGAUAUGCUUCUCAAACAGGGUCAAAUGUACAUGGCAGAUUCACAGUGCACGUCCCCAGGUGUGCCGGCCCACAUGCAAAGCAGGUCUAUGUUAAGACCACUGGAGCUGUCGUUACCCAAUCAAACCUCAUACUCUGAAAAUGACGUUUUAAAGAAAGAGUUAGAGACAAUGAGAAAUUUCUGCGAUUCAGCAAAACAAGACCGACUCAAGCUCCAGAAUGAACUGGCACACAAGGUGGCUGAAUGCAAAGCUUUAGCCUUAGAAUGUGAACGGAUCAAGGAGGACUCAGAUGAGCAGAUCAAGCAGUUAGAAGAUGCGUUAAAAGACGUGCAGAAGAGAAUGUAUGAGUCGGAAGGUAAAGUAAAACAAAUGCAGACACAUUUUCUCGCCCUGAAAGAGCACCUGACGAGUGAAGCAGCCGUGGGGAACCACAGGCUCACCGAGGAGCUGAAGGACCAGUUGAAAGACAUGAGAGCAAAAUACGAGGGCGCGUCCGCAGAAGUGGGGAAGCUGCGAAACCAGAUCAGACAGAGCGAGAUGCUAGUGGAAGAGCUGAAGAGGGACGAAGGCAAGCUGGUGGAGGAGAACAAGCGACUGCAGAGGGACUUCAGUAUGUGUGAAACAGAGCGAGACAAGAAAGGAAGGAGGCUCACGGAGACUGAAGGCCAGGUAAAAGAGCUGUUGGCAAAGUUGGCCCUUUCCGUUCCGACAGAAAAAUUUGAAAGCAUGAAGAACUUGUUAUCAAGUGAAGUCAAUGAGAAGGCCAAAAGAAUAGGAGAAAUGGAAAGAGAGCAUGAAAAAUCGCUUACGGACGUCAGACAGUUGAAGAGAGAACUGGAGAACUGUAAGGCCAAGCUUGCUCAGCACGUCAAACCGGAGGAGCACGAGCAGCUCAAGAGCAGGCUGGAGCACAGGGCAGGAGAACUGACGAAGAAGGUCACCGAACUCACGUCGAAAAAUCAGGCGUUGCAAAAGGACGUUGAAAAGGUCUAUCUGGAUAACCAGCUCCUGAGCCAGCAAGUGCAUAACUUAACAAGUGAAAUGAAAAGUCACUACGUUCCUUUACAAGCAAGCGAAGACAUGAAGAAGUCACAUGAUGCUGUUGUCGGGGAGCUGAACAGACAGCUCGCAGACGUGACCCAGAAGUACACAGAGCAGAAGGUGGCGAUGGAGAAACUGCUGCUGGAGAAUGACCAUUUGAGUAAGAAUGUCAGCCGCCUUGAAACCACGUUUGUGCCUCCGGAGAGACACCAGAAGGAGGUCACGGCUCUGAAAUCCAGCGUUGCCGACCUCAGGCAACAGCUCUCUGAGCUUCAUAAAAAACGUGGUGAAGACCAAGAGAAAACACAGGCACUCAUGUCUGAAAACAUGACCUUGAAAAAGACCCUGAGCACUCAGUAUGUGCCAGCUCAAACCCAUGAGGAGAUUAAAACCGCCUUGAGUGGCACACUAGAUAAGACGAACAGAGAAUUAGUAGAUGCGAGGAAAAAAAUCGAGGACCUCAAUCGGGAAUUUGCGAAAGCAAAAGAGGAGAAUGAGCUACUCGAAAGAACCCUGGUGAACACUCAGGCCCAGAUGAAAGCCGAGUACAUCAGCCUCCUAGAGCACGAGGACAAGAUGGGUGCCGCGAGUCAGAGCAUGAAGCGGCUGCAAGACGAGAGCGCGGAAAUCCUGGCCAACUACAAAAAGGGCCAAGAGGAGAUCGUGACGCUGCAUGCCGAGAUCAAAGCCCAGAAGAAGGAGCUUGACACAAUCCAAGAGUGCAUCAAGCUCAAAUACGCCCCCAUCAUCCGCUUCGAAGAGUGUGAGAGAAAAUUUAAAGCUACAGAGAAAGAACUAAAAGAACAGUUAUCCGAGCAGACGCGAAAAUACCAUGUCAGAGAAGAAGAGGCCAGGAAGUGCAGGCAGGAGAAUGAUAAGUUGAAGAAGGAGAUCUUCACUCUUGAGAAGGAUUUGCAGGAUAAGAAUGUUCUCAUUGAGAGCUCUCGUGAAACAGAAAGGGCACUAAGCAGAAAAGCAGAAGAGCUAAACAGACAGUUCAAAGACCUGCUGCAGAAGUACACAGAGGUAAAGACCGAGCAAGAGAAGCUGGUCGACGAAAAUGCCAGGCAGACUUCUGAACUUCUUGCAGCGCAGACCCUCCUGCAAAAGCAACACGUUCCGAUGGAACAGGUUGAGGCCCUGAAAAAGUCUCUUAAUGGCACAAUCGAGAAUCUCAAGGAAGAGCUGAAGAAUAAGCAGAGAUGUUACGAGCAAGAGCAGCAGACAGUGGCCACGCUGCAUCAGAUGCUGGAGAACCAGAAGAAGUCGUCGGUGCCCUUGGCAGAGCAUUUGCAGAUUAAGGAAGCAUUUGAGAAGGAAGUGGGGCUCAUAAAGGCGAGCUUGAGGGAAAAGGAAGAAGAAAGCCAAACCAAAACCCAGGAGGUCUCCAAACUCCAAUCCGAGGUUCAGAAUACUAAACGAGCAUUAAAGAAAUUAGAGACGAGAGAGGUGGUUGAUUUGUCUAAAUACCAAGCCACAAAAAGCGAUUUGGAGACCCAGAUUUCCAACCUAAAUGAAAAGUUGGCCAAUCUGAAUAGAAAGUACGAAGAAGCCUGUGAGGAGGUUUUACAUGCCCAAAGGAAGCAACUCUCUGCAAAAGAUGAGAAGGAAUUACUACACUUCAGCAUUGAACAAGAAAUCAAGGACCAGCAGGAGCGGUGUGAUAAGUCCUUGACGACAAUCACAGAGUUACAGAAAAGGAUACAGGAAUCUGCCAAACAAAUCGAAGCGAAAGAUAAUAAGAUAACCGAACUGCUUAACGAUGUGGAAAGGCUGAAGCAGGCCCUCAGUGGCCUUUCACAGCUCACCUGCCAGAGCGGGAGCCCCAGCAGGAGACAGAGCCAGCUCAUUGAUACCCUACAGGGCAAAGUGACCGCCCUCCAGCAGCAGCUGGCUGACGCUGACAGGCAGCACCAGGAGGUAAUUGCAAUUUAUCGGACUCAUCUUCUUAGUGCCGCGCAGUGAAGUAUACGAUUAAGAAUUCCCUUCUCUGGGGGUGUGAUGAAAUGGCUCCUUUUCGAGAAAAGGAAAUCACACGGAGAAGCUGCUCAGCAUGGGAAGAAUACCGUACUUGAUGCUCUGUGGAAGCCCUAAGGACCCGGCCGUCUCCAGAAUUCUCGGAGUAGCUUUUUCAGGAAGAUGUACUAAAAGAGGCAAUGUUAGAAUGGCAGGGCCACAUGGACGAGGACGUGCAGGCGGCCUUACUCCAAAUCAUACAAAUGCGACAGGGGCUGGUGUGCUAGUGGCCACUGCCGACUU